rnacentral:tRNA from 17 species
AGGCUUGCAGCUUGCUCAAGCAGACCUUGACAUGGUGGGGGUCGUUGGUUCGAGUCCAAUCGCGCCUACCA